rnacentral:rRNA from 1 species
GACGGAAGGUGCAAGCGUUGCUCGGAAUCACUGGGCGUAAAGGGUGCGUAGGCGGCUUGGUAGGUCUGGUGUGAAAGCCCCGGGCUCAGCCCGGGAAGGGCACUAGAAACUGCCAAGCUAGAGUGCCGGAGGGGAGAGUGGAAUUCCUGGUGUAGCGGUGAAAUGCGCAGAUAUCAGGAGGAACACCGGUGGCGAAGGCGGCUUGCUGGGCCUUACCUGACGCUGAGGAGCGAAAGCGUGGGGAGCGAACAGG